UACAGAGGUCUCAAGCGUUGUUCGGAUUCAUUGGGCGUAAAGGGUGCGUAGGCGGCGCGGUAAGUCGGGUGUGAAAUCUCGGAGCUUAACUCCGAAACUGCAUUCGAUACUGCCGUGCUUGAGGACUGGAGAGGAGACUGGAAUUUACGGUGUAGCAGUGAAAUGCGUAGAUAUCGUAAGGAAGACCAGUGGCGAAGGCGGGUCUCUGGACAGUUCCUGACGCUGAGGCACGAAGGCCGGGGGAGCAAACGGG
rnacentral:rRNA from 1 species